rnacentral:snRNA from 2 species
GUCCCUUCGAGGAAAUCUGAUAAAAUUGGAAUGAUACAGAGAAGAUUAGCAUGACUCAUGUGCAAGGAUGACAUGCACAAAUUGAGAAAUGGUCUUGGACCUU